rnacentral:rRNA from 1 species
GGGGGGAGCAAGCGUUGUUCGGAUUUACUGGGCGUAAAGGGCGCGUAGGCGGCCACUGCAAGUCGGUUGUGGAAUCUCCGGGCUUAACCCGGAAAGGUCAAUCGAUACUGCAGGGCUAGAGUGCAGAAGGGGCAACUGGAAUUCUCGGUGUAGCGGUGAAAUGCGUAGAUAUCGAGAGGAACACCUGCGGCGAAGGCGGGUUGCUGGGCUGACACUGACGCUGAAGCGCGAAAGCUAGGGGAGCGAACGGGAUUAGAUACCCCGGUAGUCCUAGCCUUAAACGAUGAAUGCUUGGUGUCUGGGGUUUUAUAGUCCCCGGGUGCCGUCGCUAACGCUUUAAGCAUUCCGCCUGGGGAGUACGGUCGCAA